GGGCCUAUAGCUCAGUUGGUUAGAGCGUACGCCUGAUAAGCGUAAGGUCUGUGGUUCGAAUCCACAUAGGCCCACCA
rnacentral:tRNA from 1 species